rnacentral:rRNA from 1 species
UACGUAGGUGGCAAGCGUUGUCCGGAAUUACUGGGUGUAAAGGGCGUGUAGGCGGGAUAGCAAGUCCGAUGUGAAAUUCCGGGGCUUAACCCCGGCACUGCAUCUGAAACUGUUAUUCUUGAGUGUCGGAGAGGAAAGUGGAAUUCCCAGUGUAGCGGUGAAAUGCGUAGAGAUUGGGAGGAACACCAGUGGCGAAGGCGGCUUUCUGGAUGAUAACUGACGCUGAGGCGCGAAAGCGUGGGGAGCAAACAGG